GAUGAAGAACGCAGCGAAAUGCGAUAAGUAAUGUGAAUUGCAGAAUUCAGUGAAUCAUCGAAUCUUUGAACGCACAUUGCGCCCCUUGGUAUUCCGAGGGGCAUGCCCGUUCGAGCGUCAUUAUACCCCUCAAGCCUAGCUUGGUGUUGGGGCCUGCUGUUACCGGCAGCCCUUAAAAUCAGUGGCGGUGCCAUCUGGCUCUAAGCGUAGUAAUACUUCUCGCUACAGGGUCCCGGUGGAUGCUUGCCAUCAACCCCUAAUUUUCUAUGGUUGACCUCGGAUCGGGUAGGGAUACCCGCUGAACUUAAGCAUAUCAAUAACGGAGGA
rnacentral:misc_RNA from 1 species